GAUGAACGCUAGCGACAGGCUUAACACAUGCAAGUCGAGGGGCAGCACAGGUAGCAAUACCGGGUGGCGACCGGCGCACGGGUGAGUAACGCGUAUGCAACUUACCUAUCAGAGGGGGAUAACCCGGCGAAAGUCGGACUAAUACCGCAUGAAGCAGGGGUCCCGCAUGGGGAUAUUUGCUAAAGAUUCAUCGCUGAUAGAUAGGCAUGCGUUCCAUUAGGCAGUUGGCGGGGUAACGGCCCACCAAACCGACGAUGGAUAGGGGUUCUGAGAGGAAGGUCCCCAACAUUGGUACUGAGACACGGACCAAACUCCUACGGGAGGCAGCAGUGAGGAAUAUUGGUCAAUGGCCGAGAGGCUGAACCAGCCAAGUAGCGUGAGGGAUGAAGGUUCUAUGGAUCGUAAACCUCUUUUAUAAGGGAAUAAAGUGCGGGACGUGUCCCGUUUUGUAUGUACCUUAUGAAUAAGGAUCGGCUAACUCCGUG
rnacentral:rRNA from 1 species